AAUUAAUGAGCUUGUAUAUAAGCAUUUGUUUUGAAAACAUAAGAAAGAAAUUUAAAUUCUAUUAAUUU
rnacentral:tRNA from 1 species